GACGAACGCUGGCGGCGUGCUUAACACAUGCAAGUCGAACGGAAAGGCCCCUUUGGGGGUACUCGAGUGGCGAACGGGUGUGUAACACGUGAGUAACCUGCCCUUGACUUCGGGAUAACUUCAGGAAACUGGGGCUAAUACCGGAUAGGAAUCCUUGCUGCAUGGUGGGGGUUGGAAAGCUUCGGCGGUUUUGGAUGGACUCGCGGCUUAUCAGCUUGUUGGUGGGGUAGUGGCUUACCAAGGCUUUGACGGGUAGCCGGCCUGAGAGGGCGACCGGGCACAUUGGGACUGAGAUACGGCCCAGACUCCUACGGGGGGCAGCAGGGGGGAAUAUUGCACAAUGGGCGGGAGCCUGAUGCAGCAACGCCGCGGGCGGGAUGACGGCCUUCGGGUUGUAAACCGCUUUCAGCAGGGGCGAAGCUUGUGGUGACGGUACCUGCAGAAGAAGCACCGGCUAACUACGUG
rnacentral:rRNA from 1 species